GGAGCCGCAGCGCAGCUCCGAGGGCUGGCGGCUCGGGGCGCCGAGGCUUCCGCGCCCGCUGGUUCCUCGCUCCGGGGCGGAGCUCGCCAUAGCGACCGGGAGCAGGGCGCGGGGCGGGACCCAGGUCCGAGGCGAGGAAGCCGGAAGCCAGGCGCGGGGAGCCUCCCCCUUCGACUGCAGCCUCGCUCCGUGCCUUCUGCGCGCCUGGGAUCCCGGAGCCUGCCUAGGUUCUGUGCGCUCCCGCCCACGCCGGUGCCCGCCGCCCGCCUGCGCCCCAGGCAGGUCCCAGGCCUCCGGCUGCUCCCGGCCGAAGGUGGGGACGGGCAGUGGCAGGCACCGCUAGCGAGGGCGUUUGGGAACCCAGGGUGACCACGGCGCAGCCAUGGGGACCGCGCUUGUGUACCAUGAGGACAUGACGGCCACCCGGCUGCUCUGGGACGACCCCGAGUGCGAGAUCGAGCGUCCUGAGCGCCUGACCGCAGCCCUGGAUCGCCUGCGGCAGCGCGGCCUGGAACAGAGGUGUCUGCGGUUGUCAGCUCGCGAGGCCUCGGAAGAGGAGCUGGGCCUGGUGCACAGCCCAGAGUAUGUAUCCCUGGUCAGGGAGACCCAGGUCCUAGGCAAGGAGGAGCUGCAGGCGCUGUCCGGACAGUUCGACGCCAUCUACUUCCACCCGAGUACCUUUCACUGCGCGCGGCUGGCCGCAGGGGCUGGACUGCAGCUGGUGGACGCUGUGCUCACUGGAGCUGUGCAAAAUGGGCUUGCCCUGGUGAGGCCUCCCGGGCACCACAGCCAGAGGGCGGCUGCCAACGGGUUCUGCGUGUUCAACAACGUGGCCAUAGCAGCUGCACAUGCCAAGCAGAAACACGGGCUACACAGGAUCCUCGUCGUGGACUGGGAUGUGCACCAUGGCCAGGGGAUCCAGUAUCUCUUUGAGGAUGACCCCAGCGUCCUUUACUUCUCCUGGCACCGCUAUGAGCAUGGGCGCUUCUGGCCUUUCCUGCGUGAGUCAGAUGCAGACGCAGUGGGGCGGGGACAGGGCCUCGGCUUCACUGUCAACCUGCCCUGGAACCAGGUCGGGAUGGGAAACGCUGACUACGUGGCUGCCUUCCUGCACCUGCUGCUUCCACUGGCCUUUGAGUUUGACCCUGAGCUGGUGCUGGUCUCGGCAGGAUUUGACUCAGCCAUCGGGGACCCUGAGGGGCAAAUGCAGGCCACGCCAGAGUGCUUCGCCCACCUCACACAGCUGCUGCAGGUGCUGGCCGGCGGCCGGGUCUGCGCCGUGCUGGAGGGCGGCUACCACCUGGAGUCACUGGCGGAGUCAGUGUGCAUGACAGUACAGACGCUGCUGGGUGACCCGGCCCCACCCCUGUCAGGGCCAAUGGUGCCAUGUCAGAGUGCCCUAGAGUCCAUCCAGAGUGCCCGUGCUGCCCAGGCCCCGCACUGGAAGAGCCUCCAGCAGCAAGAUGUGACCGCUGUGCCGAUGAGCCCCAGCAGCCACUCCCCAGAGGGGAGGCCUCCACCUCUGCUGCCUGGGGGUCCAGUGUGUAAGGCAGCUGCAUCUGCACUGAGCUCCCUCCUGGACCAGCCGUGCCUCUGCCCCGCACCCUCUGUCCGCACCGCUGUUGCCCUGACAAUGCCGGAUAUCACAUCGGUUCUGCCCCCUGACGUCAUCCAACAGGAAGCGUCAGCCCUGAGGGAGGAGACAGAAGCCUGGGCCAGGCCACACGAGUCCCUGGCCCGGGAGGAGGCCCUCACUGCACUUGGGAAGCUCCUGUACCUCUUAGAUGGGAUGCUGGAUGGGCAGGUGAACAGUGGUAUAGCAGCCACUCCAGCCUCUGCUGCAGCAGCCACCCUGGAUGUGGCUGUUCGGAGAGGCCUGUCCCACGGAGCCCAGAGGCUGCUGUGCGUGGCCCUGGGACAGCUGGACCGGCCUCCAGACCUCGCCCAUGACGGGAGGAGUCUGUGGCUGAACAUCAGGGGCAAGGAGGCGGCUGCCCUAUCCAUGUUCCAUGUCUCCACGCCACUGCCAGUGGGGCCCUGAGAUUGGGAGGUUGGGAGGCCAGAGCCAGCAGGUGUCCGUAGAUGAGGAGCUGGGCUCUGCUGUCCCCACAGAUGACCGGUGGUUUCCUGAGCUGCGUCUUGGGCUUGGUGCUGCCCCUGGCCUAUGGCUUCCAGCCUGACCUGGUGCUGGUGGCGCUGGGGCCUGGCCAUGGCCUGCAGGGCCCCCACGCUGCACUCCUGGCUGCAAUGCUUCGGGGGCUGGCAGGGGGCCGAGUCCUGGCCCUCCUGGAGGAGGACUCCACACCCCAGCUAGCAGGGAUCCUGGCCCGGGUGCUGAAUGGAGAGGCACCUCCUAGCCUAGGCCCUUCCUCUGUGGCCUCCCCAGAGGACGUCCAGGCCCUGAUGUACCUGAGAGGGCAGCUGGAGCCUCAGUGGAAGAUGUUGCAGUGCCAUCCUCACCUGGUGGCUUGAAAUCGGCCAAGGUGGGAGCAUUUACACCGCAGAAAUGACACCGCACGCCAGCGCCCCGCGGCCGCGAUCCGGACCCCAAGCCCACGGCUCCCUCGACUCUGGGGCACGGAACCCCGCCCACUCCCAAUCCCCGCGCCCCGCCCCUCCCCUCGCUUCCCCAUUCGCCCCGCCCCCUCCCACCCGUGCUUCCCCCGCUCCACCCCUCACCUCACCUCGCCCCUGCCCCACCCAUCGCGCCCCGGCCCGUCCCAUCGAGGCCCAUGCAACCCACCCUCGGUCCCAUUCCGGCCCCUGCGCCCCGCUGCGCUUCGCUCCCCGCCCUUAAGCCGUUAGUAAACAUCGGUCAAACGAAA